rnacentral:rRNA from 1 species
GACGAACCGUGCGAACGUUGUUCGGAAUCACUGGGCUUAAAGGGCGCGUAGGCGGCUUCGCAAGUCCGGGGUGAAAGCCUCCAGCUCAACUGGAGAAGUGCCUUGGAUACUGCGGGGCUCGAGGGAGGUAGGGGUGCGUGGAACUUCCGGUGGAGCGGUGAAAUGCGUAGAUAUCGGAAGGAACACCAGUGGCGAAAGCGGCGCGCUGGACCUCUUCUGACGCUGAGGCACGAAAGCCAGGGGAGCAAACGGG